rnacentral:rRNA from 1 species
CCCUUAGAUGUUCUGGGCCGCACGCGCACUACACUGAUGCAUUCAACAAGCCUAGCCUUGACCGAGAGGUCCGGGUAAUCUUUGAAACUGCAUCGUGAUGGGGCUAGAUUAUUGCAAUUAUUAAUCUUCAACGAGGAAUGCCUAGUGAGCGUGAUUCAUCAAAUCGCGUUGAUUACGUCCCUGCCCUUUGUACACACCGCCCGUCGCUCCUACCGAUUGAAUGUGUUGGUGAGGAGCUCGGAUUGGCAGCAGUUGGUGGUUCGCCACCGGCUAUUGCUGAGAAGUCAUCCAAACCGCCCCAUUUAGAGGAAGGAGAAGUCGUAACA